UUCCGGUUGAUCCUGCCGGAGGCUACCGCUAUUGGAGUUCGAUUAAGCCAUGCGAGUCGAGAGUCUUAGGGACUCGGCGCACCGCUCAGUAACACGUGGGUAACCUGCCCUAUGCUGGGGGAUAACCUCGGGAAACUGAGAAUAAUACCCCAUAGUUCACCACGCCUGGAACGGUGGGUGGACCAAAGCUCCGGCGGCAUAGGAUGGGCCUGCGACGUAUCAGGUUGUAGGGGGUGUAACGUACCCUCUAGCCAUCAACGCGUACGGGUGUUGGGAGACAUAGCCCGGAGAUGGAUUCUGAGACACGAAUCCAGACCCUACGGGGUGCAGCAGGCGCGAAAACUUGGCAAUGCGAGCAAUCGUGACCAGGGAACUCCAAGUGGCUGGGGUAAUACCCAGUUUUUUCUUGACUCUUCAAAGGUCUUGGAAUAAGGGGUGGGUAAGGACGGUGCCAGCCGCCGCGGUAAUACCGGCGCCUCAAGUGGUAGUCGCUUUUAUUGGGCCUAAAACGUCCGUAGCCGGUCUGGUACAUUCGUGGGUAAAUCAACCCGCUCAACGGGUUGAAUUCUGCGAGCACGGCCAGACUUGGGACCGGGAGAGGUGUGGGGUACUCUCAGGGUAGGGGUAAAAUCCUGUCAUCCUGAGAGGACCACCUGUUGCGAAGGCGCCACACUAGAACGGAUCCGACGGUCAGGGACGAAACCUAGGGGCACGAACCGGAUUAGAUACCCGGGUAGUCCUAGGUGUAAACGCUGUGGACUUGAUGUUGGGGGCGCUCCGAGCGCUUUCAGUGUCGAAGCGAAGGUGAUAAGUCCACUGCCUGGGGAGUACGGUCGCAAGGCUGAAACUUAAAGGAAUUGGCGGGGGAGCACUGCAACCUGAGGAUUGUGCGGUUUAAUUGGAUUCAACGCCGG
rnacentral:rRNA from 1 species